GAUGAACGCUGGCGGCGUGCCUAAUACAUGCAAGUCGAGCGAACAGACGAGGAGCUUGCUCCUUUGACGUUAGCGGCGGACGGGUGAGUAACACGUGGGUAACCUACCUAUAAGACUGGGAUAACUUCGGGAAACCGGAGCUAAUACCGGAUAACAUGUUGAACCGCAUGGUUCAACAGUGAAAGACGGUCUUGCUGUCACUUAUAGAUGGAUCCGCGCCGCAUUAGCUAGUUGGUAAGGUAACGGCUUACCAAGGCAACGAUGCGUAGCCGACCUGAGAGGGUGAUCGGCCACACUGGAACUGAGACACGGUCCAGACUCCUACGGGAGGCAGCAGUAGGGAAUCUUCCGCAAUGGGCGAAAGCCUGACGGAGCAACGCCGCGUGAGUGAAGAAGGUCUUCGGAUCGUAAAACUCUGUUAUUAGGGAAGAACAAAUGUGUAAGUAACUAUGCACGUCUUGACGGUACCUAAUCAGAAAGCCACGGCUAACUACGUG
rnacentral:rRNA from 1 species